rnacentral:rRNA from 1 species
AGCGAACGCUGGCGGCAGGCCUAACACAUGCAAGUCGAACGAACCCUUCGGGGUUAGUGGCGGACGGGUGAGUAACACGUGGGAACGUGCCUUUAGGUUCGGAAUAACUCAGGGAAACUUGUGCUAAUACCGAAUGUGCCCUUCGGGGGAGAGAUUUAUCGCCUCUAGAGCGGCCCGCGUCUGAUUAGCUAGUUGGUGAGGUAAUGGCUCACCAAGGCUACGAUCAGUAGCUGGUCUGAGAGGAUGACCAGCCACAUUGGGACUGAGACACGGCCCAAACUCCUACGGGAGGCAGCAGUGGGGAAUCUUGCGCAAUGGGCGAAAGCCUGACGCAGCCAUGCCGCGUGGAUGAUGAAGGUCUUAGGAUUGUAAAAUCCUUUCACCGGUGAAGAUAAUGACUGUAGCCGGAGAAGAAGCCCCGGCUAACUUCGUGCCAGCAGCCGCCGUAACAC